rnacentral:rRNA from 1 species
ACGCAUGCAAGUCGGACGGCAGCACAGAGAAGCUUGCUUCUUGGGUGGCGAGUGGCGAACGGGUGAGUAAUAUAUCGGAACGUACCGAGCAGUGGGGGAUAACUAAUCGAAAGAUUAGCUAAUACCGCAUAUUUUCUGAGGAAGAAAGCAGGGGGGCCAUUUGGCCUUGCGCUGUUUGAGCGGCCGAUAUCUGAUUAGCUGGUUGGUGGGGUAAAGGCCUACCAAGGCGACGAUCAGUAGCGGGUCUGAGAGGAUGAUCCGCCACACUGGGACUGAGACACGGCCCAGACUCCUACGGGAGGCAGCAGUGGGGAAUUUUGGACAAUGGGCGCAAGCCUGAUCCAGCCAUGCCGCGUGUCUGAAGAAGGCCUUCGGGUUGUAAAGGACUUUUGUCAGGGAAGAAAAGGAUAGGGUUAAUACCCCUGUCUGAUGACGGUACCUGAAGAAUAAGCACCGGCUAACUACGUGCCAGCAGCCGCGGUAAUACGUAGGGUGCGAGCGUUAAUCGGAAUUACUGGGCGUAAAGCGGGCGCAGACGGUUACUUAAGCAGGAUGUGAAAUCCCCGGGCUCAACCUGGGAACUGCGUUCUGAACUGGGUGACUAGAGUGUGUCAGAGGGAGGUAGAAUUCCACGUGUAGCAGUGAAAUGCGUAGAGAUGUGGAGGAAUACCGAUGGCGAAGGCAGCCUCCUGGGAUAACACUGACGUUCAUGCCCGAAAGCGUGGGUAGCAAACAGGAUUAGAUACCCUGGUAGUCCACGCCCUAAACGAUGUCGAUUAGCUGUUGGGCAGCAUGACUGCUUAGUAGCGAAGCUAACGC